CGGCGGACGGGUGAGUAACGCGUAGGAAUCUACCUGGUAGUGGGGGGACAACAUGGUGAAAACCAUGCUAAUACCGCAUACGCCCCAAGGGGGAAAGCGGGGGAUCUUCGGACCUCGCGCUACCGGAUGAGCCUGCGUAGGAUUAGCUUGUUGGUGAGGUAAAGGCUCACCAAGGCGACGAUCCUUAGCUGGUCUGAGAGGAUGAUCAGCCACACUGGAACUGAGACACGGUCCAG
rnacentral:rRNA from 1 species